rnacentral:rRNA from 14 species
ACAUACGACCAUACCUAGUGGAAAAUACGGGAUCCCGUCCGCUCUCCCAUAGUCAAGCCGCUAAGGGGCUGAUUAGUAGUUGGGUCGGUGACGACCAGCGAAUACCGGCUGUUGUAUGU